UAAAAUAUGGAAACGUUACGUAAAAAUAUGUGUACAUGUACAAGUAGUAAAACUUGCCACGUACAAACAACGCACAUAGGUUCCAUCCGAACGUCAACUAGCCCGCAGAAACAGAAAAAAUAUAUUUCAAUCAAUGGGUUAAGGAAUAAAAAAUAAUAGGAAACCUAAACAAAUAAGGACAACGAUUGGACCUAACCAGACCUCACAUGAGAAACUUCCAAAACAGGAACCAUGACACGAAAAAAGACCGAUCUGCUUUCUCCACGGUCACAACCACCUGAACCCACACACCUCCACCCAUAUAUAAAUGAGUACAGCCAGCCGCAGAAGCACACACCCAAAGAAUUAGAAGUCAGCAAAGACGUCACACGCGACUAGGCAACUCGACGUCGACACGAAAAGCCACCUCAGCCACCUCCAGCCGCUUCACUUGACGUCCGAUGAAGUCACGCCAAAGCACGCUCAACGCAUGACGAAGCCACGCCCAGCUACUCCAAUCGACAUCGGACGAAGGGACGCCAAAGCACUUUUGGCCUGAAUCAUCAGAUAAUUUAGUAAUUGUUAUUAACAGUCUUAUUUUCUCUAGAUAUAAUCUUUAUAAAUAUUGUAUCAAUUGAAAAAUUGUUCCCUAUUAAUAUUCAAGGCAAAACACUAUGGCAUGUAACAAGUUGAGCGACUUAAAUACAAGGGGACAUCACUGGAACAUUCAAGUAAAACAAAUGUGAAUAUGGGAUUCAUUCAAUCCUACCACCGAUGAGCUUAUUAGCCUAGAUAUGAUACACGUGCAAAGUAACAUUACAAAUCGACCAAAUAAUCGGUGCGGAGAUCCCAGACAAAGAUGACGAUCCGGACGGAUAUGAAACUGUGGAAAAUUUCAUGAUGCACGGGCCUUGCAGAGUGUCAAAUACAAAAUCAUCAUGCAUGAUUGACAACAGACGCACUAAGCACUUCCCAAAAGGAUACAAUGUCGAUACCACAAACGAUGAGGAUGGCUUUCCAGUAUAUAGAAGGCGAUACAAUGGAAGGAAAAUCAAAAAGGGAGGAGCAAUGCUCAACGAUAGAUUUGUCGUACCCUACAACCGAAACCUUUUGGCCAAUUCCAAGCUCACAUAAAUGUCAAGUGGUGCCACAGGCCAAGGUCAAUCAAGUACCUACCUAUUUAAGAACAUCCAUAAAGAUGACGACCAGGUAACAACCUUGCUAAAGGGAAGAGAUGCGGCAAAUGACUAUGAUGACAUCAAGAAAUACCUAGAGAUGAGAUACAUAUCAACAACUGAAGCAUGCUGGCAAACAUUCCUGUUUGAUAUACACCAUCAUGAUCCACCAGUCGAGAGACUACCAUUCCACAUUAAAAAUGAGCAAGAACUUAUUUUUCCGGACUCGACUGACAUAGAGAAGAUAGUAAGAAGGCCAGGAUCCACGAGUACUAAGUUCACUGAGUGGAUGGAGGCAAACAAAAUACAUGAGGCGGGAAAAGAAUUAACCUAUGCAGAAUUACCAUCAAAAUUUGUAUGGAAAAGCGAAACCAAAACCUGAGGAGCGGAAAAGGGGCUUCACUAUUGGGAGAAUCUACUAUGGACACCCUGCAAGUGGAGAUAGAGAAACUAAUGAGGCAAGCAAGAAAAACACUAAAGGACUAUCCAGACAUAGAACUACGAAAUGCUAUAGAACUUGAACAACUUGGGAACAGAAUGAUAAACGAAGAACUUAUCUACGACAUGGAGGCACUAAAGAAUGAGCACGAAACCAUAAUAAGCAAUGUCAACCACAGCUAGAAAAUGACCUUUGAUGCAAUAAUAGAAUCAGCUGAGAAAGGACUUGGAAAACAGAUAUUUGUAGAAGGCUAUGGUGGCACAUGCAAAACUUACCUAUGGAAAGCAAUUACAACGAAGCUACGAUCAGAAGGAAAGAAAGUGAUUUCGGUAGUAUCAUCUGGCAUUGCAGCUUUGCUCCUAUAAGGUGGAAGAACAGCGCACUCAAGAUUCCACAUUCCAAUAAAUACGACGGAAGAAUCAACAUGUGAAAUAAAACAAGGAUCACAUUUGGCUGAACUGGUAAAGAAAACCUCGGUGAUAUUAUGGGACGAGGCUCCUAUGACAAACACUGCUUCGAUGCACUAGAAAAAAGCCUUAGGGAUAUUCUAAGGUUCACAAACCAAAAUAGUGACGAAAGGCCAUUUGGUGACAUGACAGUUGUGCUAGAAGGCGACUUCAGAAAAAUACUUCAAGUGAUAACAAAGAGCAGAUAGUAAAUGCCUCGGUCAAAGGUCAUACCUACGGAAGUACUUUUAAAUAUUUUUCUAACUGAAAACAUGCGGCUAAAGUUUGUCAGAAGAUCCAAUACAAAAGCAAAAUGUGGCCGAAUUUGCAGAAUGGAUCAAAUUGCGAUAAAAAAAUGAUGAAGCAGAUGAUUGGGUAAGAAUACGUAAAGACCUACUUCUACUUAAAGGAGAAGACCCCAAAUAAGAGAUAGUAAAAAUCACGUACCCAAACUUGCAGCAAAACUAUCGUAACAGUGAAUUUGUCGAAGAAAGAGCAAUACUAUGUCCAAGGAAUGAAAUAGUUGAGAGAAGAUAAAUUACUACAUAAUGAGCCAAAUACAAGGUGAAGAGAUGACAUACCUAUACUUGGACACUGUAUGCAAGGCAACAAUGAAUUACAACACAAUGGAGAAUAUGUGUCUAGCAGAGUUCCUCAACAACAUGACCUUCCCAGGAAUUCCAAUCCACGAGCUAAAACUGAAGGUAGGCUUGCAGGUGAUGCUCCUACGGAACAUCAAUCAAGCGGCAAGUUUAUGCAAUGGCACAAGAAUGACUAUCACACAGCUGGGCAAAAGGUACAUUGAGGCACAAAUAAUCACAGGAACACACGUCAGUGACAAGGUAUACAUACCUGAAAUCAUUAUGUCACCAAGCGACUUGAAGUGGCCCUUCGUGCCGAAAAGAAGGCAAUAUCCUCUAUCAGUUUAUUUUGCAAUGACCAUAAAUAAAAGCCAAUGUCAAUCCCUAAAGAAGGUGGGCUUAUAUUUGCCUAAGCAUGUCAUCUUCCAUGGGCAACUAUAUGUGGCAUUAUCAAGAGUCACAUACACAGAAGGAUUAAAGGUGUUGAUUGACGACAUAGAGUGCCCAAGCGAAGAUAGCGCAAAGAAUAUAUAUAGUAUACAAAGAGAUCUUCUAAUUUUAGAAGAUCUCUUUGUAAAUCAUGACCUUAGUAAGAACAUGACAAUGCAUAUUAUUAUUGCCAUACAGUGCUUUCAUGCAUACAAAUGUUAACAAGUAUGUACAUGUAGCUUCCUUUCUGUAUGACGACAAUCAAUCGGUACAUAUUAAUUUAAAAAUAUAAACUCCAUUGAUUCUUAUUAUAGUGGAUGAGCUUUAAAGAUGAAAAGGUUACGUAAGACAUAGAGCACGUACACAGUAGAUCAUUGACACAUCUACAAGGAGUUCUCUUUUUUUCCCUAGAGAGGAUGUACAGGGAAGUCCAACAUGCAUACGUACACAUUUUAGUUAGAAAAAGCACACCAACUUCAACUCAAAAAGAAAAGGCACACCAACUUCCGUGAGAUAACACACGUAUAGGGGAGUCCAACACGCAUACAAAGACAUUAGUUAGAAAAGGAAACCAACUAGAAAGAGCAAACUACAAGAGGUCUGUUAUCGGGAAUAAAAAGCACAUACAUGGCAGAAAAAACACAAGAAGGUCUAUACCAAAUAAAAAACGCCUUAUCGGAUAAUAAUGAAAAUAUAUAUGAGUCUUCCCUGAACAUGUAUGCCGUACAUGGAAGAGAUGUGUCCCUGUCUAUCUAGGAUUCUAAUUGAAUGCAAAUCUUAUUUUUGCAAAAAAAAUCAACACUAAUUUGCAACUCUCACAUGCACGCAUGCAAACAGGAAAGCUAGCAUACAUGUAUGCACGCUUAUCUCCAUACUUGCAUGAGAAAUAAGAAAAUAGACACCUAUAAUACUAUAGCUAACACAUCAAAAUAUCACAUACACUUAUCAACCUACCGCGCAUUGAAUACAGAAGCGAUGAGCGUCCAACUAAUUGAAAUAUCAAAUCCAUAGAUUCGUACAGGAUCUGCAUUAGAUGAGUUAAGAAAACAUUGUAUCUGGUGAACACCCAAAAAUUGGUUUUAAAAUUAAUUUUGUAAUAAAAAAUGUUUGGAAAAGAAUCAAAGAUAUUCUAUAUGAAGUCCAUAAAAAAGAAUCCAGUAAAUUAAAAUAAGAGGAUAAUUUAGCAAUUUUCAAUGAGUAGUUACAUUUUCUUAGAUGAGCAAGUUACAUACUAAUUAAUAACCAAAAGAUAAGCAUGAUUGCAACUGUAUUGUCGUAAUCAAGGAAUGCAAUUAAAACAUGUUUAGGCGAAGGAACCGAGAUGAUAAGGCGAGACUGAACAAUGUUUAGACUUGAUCUCAUGGCGGCAAUUUUCCAAAACAAUAUAAAAACAUAGCCAGACACUAAGAGAUGAGAUGUGGAAGAGGUAAAUCAUGACCUUAGUAAGAACAUGGCAAUGCAUAUUAUUUUUUCCAUACACUGCUUUCAUGCAUACAGAUGUUAACAAGUGUGUACAUGCAGCUUCCUUUCUGCAUGGGCAGAAGUUUUUUUGAAUAAUAACCACUCUAAUAAACAUGAUUCUCAGAAACCAUAUUAGCCAACAAGAUUCCAUAAUCAAGAUAAGAAACUAUAUGUGUAGCUAAUUCAGACGCCUUACAUUUGUGUGUGCACCAUAUAACAUUGUGUAUGUUCACCAUAUAGCAGUGCCUCUACAUGGUAAUUAAGACGCAAGAAGCCAACAACAAAACUAGCCGCACCUAAAUCGCUGAACUUGAAAACUUAACCUGCAGCUAGACGCAUGCAUGUCUCACAUUAAGUUGAUGCUUCUGUUAUCUAGAUCGGUAAAAGUGCAUCUAAAAUUCCUUUGUUUUACUGUCAAUCAAUAAUUAAAUGCAAGGGUCUGUUGCUAGGUUCAGUUAGACUUAAUUCCAGCAGAUCCAUAUGUUUGCUUUACUGUGUUCUCUACUACAGAAUUCAGAGAACAAGUAUAAGUGCACUUCUCCACACAGAAAUUUUUGGUAUAAUUUUUGAUUUCACACGAAAAGUUGUUUAGUAACGGGAAGAUAAAAUCUUAUUCUGAUUUCUAUAUCAUUCAACUUAAAAAAACUUAUAUGGUUCAAAUAACACUUACAUUUGGUAGAAGUCUGGACAGCAGGAGGGCAACAACUAACAUCGACUCGCAGAAGAUACUCACGUCUUGCAUAUAUUUCUUCAUCCGCGAACUCCCUCAAUGCCUUCGCAGCUCCAACAUCUAGAAACUCUGGCUACGACAACUUUGAGUAGCACAACCCGCGUUCUCACUGGACAUCUCCGUGACCGCGUUGCCAGGGUCGACGAGUUCGCCGAGAUCCACACGCUCACCCAGCCACAUGUGCCACCACCAAGGAAGAAAAAUCAGAAGAAAAGAAGCGACAUGCGGAUCUGGGAUAGCAUGAGGAUUAGUUUCCCAAUGGGGCACAUCGACAUCGUCCUUCGCCGGCGGCAAAUUGGAAGAAAUGGCGGAUGUGUAUGAGGUGCCUGGUGGGGAUCGUAUGGGAGGAGAGUUCUUUUUUUUACUGAGAGGGAAAGGAGAGAGAGUUCUAUGUAGAUAUCUUUUUAUGGCUGAGAGUUCUGUGUAAAUGACUGGGACUGGGACUACCGGCUGUUUUACUUAGAAUUUUUUUUAUACGGAGUGGUAAUCAUCUUCA
rnacentral:lncRNA from 1 species